rnacentral:rRNA from 1 species
GACGAACGCUGGCGGCGUGCUUAACACAUGCGAGUCGAACGGAAAGGCCCUGCUUUUGUGGGGUGCUCGAGUGGCGAACGGGUGAGUAACACGUGAGUAACCUGCCCUUGACUUUGGGAUAACUUCAGGAAACUGGGGCUAAUACCGGAUAGGAGCUCCUGCUGCACGGUGGGGGUUGGAAAGUUUCGGCGGUUGGGGAUGGACUCGCGGCUUAUCAGCUUGUUGGUGGGGUAGUGGCUUACCAAGGCUUUGACGGGUAGCCGGCCUGAGAGGGUGACCGGCCACAUUGGGACUGAGAUACGGCCCAGACUCCUACGGGAGGCAGCAGUGGGGAAUAUUGCACAAUGGGCGGAAGCCUGAUGCAGCAACGCCGCGUGCGGGAUGACGGCCUUCGGGUUGUAAACCGCUUUCGCCUGUGACGAAGCGUGAGUGACGGUAAUGGGUAAAGAAGCACCGGCUAACUACGUG